CGUACCCAGGGCCUUUGCGCGGUUCAGAGGCUCUGGUACGGGAAGCAAAGGCCCUGGUAAACACUGGUCACGUGUGUCCAAAAAUAUUGGACAUUUCGUAAUAAUUUAGUUUCCAAUCCGGGGGGAGCGGACCCGAUUGAUUUUAUCAAACAUGGCAGCGCGAAGGCGCGACGUUUUCGAGUUUUUAUAUUAUUAUGAUAAAUAAAACUUUCCUAGUGAGAUUUAAAAGUGGGUAUAUAUUAUCUAUGCAUUCUACGAGCUUUCUUUCAACAAAUUGUGGAAUAGCUAACGGUAAUACUUAUCAAAGAUCGAAGGACGAAGAUCAAACUGAGCGAAAACUAGUCGAGUGAUCGACUGUCUUUAAACUGUCUAUUUUGUAUCCAAUGCAGCUGCUUGUGUGCGACGUUUUAUAAAGAAUUAAAUAAACAUUGUUGAUUAUAAGUAAUUUUUAUGUAUUGACCAAAGAAUAUCACUUGGGAUUUUAUUGUACUUUUAUGGAAGGAUAAAUCAGAGGGGACAUGCAUCUAUGGAAACGAAAUUCUUCAUGUGUAUUAAACAUGUAGUUAUCAAAGCAGAAUAUUUUGAAACAAUUAACUGGUCGAGUGACAGGUUGGUUUCCGUAUGUAUGUAGUUUAAAAUACAGUUGUGAAUGAAAUUAUACAUAGUAUCUUGAAACCUUUGUGUGUGUGAGUUAAUUUCAUAUUUAUUUUGUGGGAUGUAUCAUCUUUAUCAUGUGGGAUGUAUCACCUGAAUCAUGAGAAAUAAUAUACAGUGAUCUUGAAACAAC